GUGAGACCGAAAGUCCCCUCUCAUGUUAUAUUAGUGGUCGCAUCAUUUUGUGCAUAUACGCUAAGCGUUUAAUUGGUUUUUUAGUGACGUGCCACAAGGGACCAUGCACACUGUCCGACAGCCGCUGAGCCAAUUCGUAUAUUUAAGAAGCUGUGUUGAUGCAGCCUAGUCUUGCAGAGGCCGCCAAAUUUAAUGUCUUGUCAUCGGUCACAAGAAAAGCUAGCAUAAUAAAGUAACGGGGCACGAAAGGUCUUCACGAGUGGUUCAGGCAGCAAUUGAACAACACUUUGAAAUUGAACCUUCAGGCCAUGCGUUCACACGCGCCAGUGCGUUCCGACAGGCUGCGCAGUCCUUUGAAGAAGUGAGAGGCAGCAAUUUUUUGUUGUUGCUUUUGCGUAACAAAUGUUGAAGGACGAAUAUAUAUAAUGACGGAAUAUAUACCAGCUAUACAAAAGCGAUGACGGCGGUUCAUCACACGGGGAAAAACAGCAACCAUCACAUACAGACGUCAGUGACAGUUCAUCUGGCAGUUAGAUCACCUUCCGGCUAAAGGAUGGUUCUGUGUUUUGUUCCGGACUGAUAGAACUCUAGUAAUUAGAGUGAAUAAUGAAAUCAGAAUCAAAUUUAUUUUCGCCAUAUAUGCGGGUGCGCAUGCAACGACCACUAUUAUGAGAGCAAGAGUACGUGGAGACCAGUGUGCAAGUCGCAAGAAGAAGACAUAUCGCGUAAGUAUUACAUUUGCUUUACCAAAAAGCACAAGAUUUCAAUACUUCAAAAACGGAUAUGUUUGCAACACUAUUGUGUCGUUCAUUAUUGCUUUCUUCUUUUGUAGUUAAACUAUCGAGAAAAUAACUAUUUAACGGGGAACAAAAUUUAAUGAAGUGGAUAUUGCAUUAGACAGUUCUCGUAAUAGUCAUCUGAACUGCAGAAAGAGUCAAGCAAAAUUGUUCGCGAACGGCGCGUUAAUUGUAAACGGCCCUGUCGCAGCACAGAAAAAAUCGUCAAACGAACUAAGCGCAGGCGACUCGUGGACUGUACAGUUCUAGGAAACAUUUCAGUUGAAUGUUUUCACUGGGGAGGGUGAAAGAAGCGAUUAUACGAAGGCGAAUUGUGAAGAGAUGUCAAAAUCUGCAAUUUUUCUAGCUAUUGUCGAUUCGUCUAAGAAUAAUUAAGGCUGCAUGCCAAUCAAUGUAAAUCAUAAAAUAGAGCAUUUCUGCUGUCGACGUGGAUUUGAUUGGGAAGAACUAGAGUUAGAUCAAAUUCUUCCAAUUUUCGCUCAAUUAACUAAUGACGUUCAAUAAUCAAGCAGUUAAGAAUUAAUAAAUUCAUGGUAUAUCAUGAGUGUUUUUUCAAGCGCCGUCUCCUGUGAAGCAUAUCUACCAUUUUCGUGCAAAGCUCUCUGGAAAGCGUAUUGACUGUGUAUGCAUGCAUGCACCUAUCGAACUUCGUGCACAUAUAGACGUGAUGCUUUGACGAUAAAUACUUAUUAAAAUUCAAAUUAUUUAUUUCUGCCUUGUAAAGGUACAGACAGCAGAGGCGCAGAAAAAGCUGUCAGAUACAGAUUGACAAAGCCGCAGCCCCCUUUCGCUUGGCAGAGCCUUUACAGCGACACUUUUAAAACAAAGACAAUUGCACCCGGUAAUAACAGGUAUACAAUACUGAGCAAGUACAAAAGGAAACCAAUCAAGAUUAUACGAUAUUUGUACAAUACUCCCAAACAAGAAAACAGAACCUACAUGCUAACGUACAUAGCACCCAAAGUACUGUUCGACACGUUGAAGAGGUCAAAAUUAUUGUUCACAUAAGGUAUAUACAUAUUCGUAUAGCGCUACCAAUCCCUGCAAAAUAUAGAACGCAGAUUUUCAUUACACACACGCACGCACGCACGUGCACAGCACACACACCAAAAGGAAACGGCAACGCGCUCACAGGAAGCGCCUGAAAAACGAAAAAAAAGGAAAAGUGUGGGGAACCGAGGUCGUCUUGGGCUGUCGCCUCUCCCUCUCCCAGAAGGAAUGAAGAGGUUCUUGGAAAGCAGGGACGGGCGAUUCUCUCUGUCAGCAUCAGCUCCCACCAGCGAGGACGGGGCGAGAAAGCGAAACGGGACUUUCCUUGCUGUCUAUUUUUUCUUCGUCAGGCCAACGCCGCUUGCUUGCAGGGGCGCAGGCGAGUUCCCGCCAAAUGGCGCGGGUGCGUGAGUUGCCGCCAAAUGCUAGCUCUGGAUGCCAGCUCGUUCCGCGUCUCAUGGUAGACUAGUUGGUGCAUUUCUGUUAUCAUGGACUGCGCAUAUAAACGCAAGCUACACAAAAGUGACAAGGACAAGAACAGCGCAAGCCCUUUACAUGCAGUGGAGCCGCCGUAUCUCGCCGUUCAAGAUAUGCGUACUCGUAAGUGGCAUUUUAAUUUCACGUUGUGUAAUGCAUGACUGUCUUUUUCAAGUGAACAAAGGUCGCUUUGUAUUGUGUAAAUGGUUUUGCAACGUAUGAUAAACUCCUUGUCUUUCGGGCUUAUUUUUUCUGACAGGAAGAAAAAAAAAAGAGGCUUUACAUGAGAACGGAUCAAGCGUUCGAGAGUUGGGACAGAGAAAUGAAACGCUGGAACGACACUGCUUAAAUUGAAGCACAGUACGUGUGCGAAUGACCUGCUACGCUCGGAACUGUUAUCACCAUUCGGGAAGAAAUUGGAUGAAAAAAUAUAACUGUAAAUACCUGUAUGAUAUACGUCUGGUGCAUUGCAGGUAAGAAUGGAUUGUGUGUGGCGCGCUUCACCGCAUGUGGACUAGAGUAGAUCUAGGAACAUCAGACAAGAAGACACGUAUGUGAAACCCUGCGGAUAGCCCAUAUGUGAACUUUUUUUCCAGAUACGGAGGAACGGACACCGGUCGUGCCGUGAGCACUAUUCUGCAGGGCAUACUUCCAAAUGAAGCUGCACUGCAGUUCAGCUGGAAAGGGUCGCAGGGGAGGAAGCACGCCUUCGUGAAGCUCAUGGCCAUCACGAAUAUAACAUCUGUGAGGAGCACGUUCCCUGACGCUUCACUAGCAUCAGUGGCUGGAGUCGCAAAACGCUGGUUGGUUGGAGCAGCUGACAGGGAUGGAGGCCGGAAUGAAAGAAGGCGCCGUGACCCUGCUUCAAGCCCACCAAAUAUGAACUAGUGUUUGAAACUUGUGAACGUGUCGGUGUACAUAUACAAUUACAAGAAAUAAAGACCUGUAUCAGAA